rnacentral:tRNA from 1 species
AGGGGUGUAGCUCAAUUGGUAGAGCGCGUGACUGUUAAUCACGAGGUUGGUCGUUCGAGUCGACCCGCCCCUGCCA